rnacentral:rRNA from 1 species
CAGAGGGCAGCUACCCAGCAAUGGGAUGCGAAUCUCGAAAGCCUGUCUCAGUUCGGAUUGGAGGCUGAAACCCGCCUCCAUGAAGUUGGAUUCGCUAGUAAUCGCGCAUCAGCCAUGGCGCGGUGAAUACGUUCCCGGGCCUUGUACACACCGCCCGUCAAGCCAUGGGAGCCGGGGGGUGCCUGAAGUUCGUGACCGCAAGGAGCGACCUAGGGCAAAACUGGUGACUGGGGCUAAGUCGUAACAAGGUACC